GGCUCCAUAGCUCAGGGGUUAGAGCACUGGUCUCGUAAACCAGGGGUCGUGAGUUCAACUCUCACUGGGGCCU
rnacentral:tRNA from 1 species